UUUCUCCCCCCCUUUCCUAGAGAGGGGGUGAGAAUACGCUAGACAUUUCUUUAAGAAACCACGGAACCUCUGCUUUGGCCCCCUCCGCAGCAGUUGCCUCCGCGCUUUACUGCCAGUUUACGG
ensembl:misc_RNA